rnacentral:rRNA from 1 species
GGAAUCUUCCACAAUGGACGCAAGUCUGAUGGAGCAACGCCGCGUGAGUGAAGAAGGGUUUCGGCUCGUAAAGCUCUGUUGUUAAAGAAGAACGUGGGUAAGAGUAACUGUUUACCCAGUGACGGUAUUUAACCAGAAAGUCACGGCUAACUACGUGCCAG